GAGACAGCAGCCGCCGCGGGAAUACAGAGGGUGCGAGCGUUAAUCGGAUUUACUGGGCGUAAAGCGUGCGUAGGCGGCUUCUUAAGUCGGAUGUGAAAUCCCUGAGCUUAACUUAGGAAUUGCAUUCGAUACUGGGAAGCUAGAGUAUGGGAGAGGAUGGUAGAAUUCCAGGUGUAGCGGUGAAAUGCGUAGAGAUCUGGAGGAAUACCGAUGGCGAAGGCAGCCAUCUGGCCUAAUACUGACGCUGAGGUACGAAAGCAUGGGGAGCAAACAGGAUUAGAUACCCGGGUAGUCCCUGUCUCUUAUAC
rnacentral:rRNA from 1 species